rnacentral:rRNA from 1 species
GUUUGAUCAUAGCUCAGAUUGAACGCUGGCGGGAUGCUUUACAUGCAAGUCGAACGGCAGCACGGACUUCGGUCUGGUGGCGAGUGGCGAACGGGUGAGUAAUGUAUCGGAACGUGCCUAGUAGCGGGGGAUAACUACGCGAAAGCGUAUGUCGCGCACUUAAUACGCCCUUCGGGGAAAGCGGGGGACCUUCGGGCCUCGCACUAUUAAGCGGCCGAUAUCGGAUUAGCUAGUUGGUGGGGUAACGGCUCGCAAGGCGACGAUCCGUAGCUGGUUUUGAAGGACGACCAGCCACACUGGGACGGAACCACAGCCCAGACUCCUACAGGGAGGCAGCAGUGGGGAAUUUUUGGACAAUGGGGAAACCCUGAUCCAACCAUCCCGCGUGUGCGAUGAAGGCCUUCGGGUUGUAAAGCACUUUUGGCAGGAAAGAAACAGCGCAGGAUAUGCCCGUGCAACUGACGGCCUGCAAGGCCAAAGCAGUAACUGGUGCCCGCAAACAGCCGCGGUAAUACGUAAGGUACAAGCGUUAAUCUGAAUUACUGGGCGUAAAGCGUGCGCGAGCGGUUCGGGAAAGAAGAUGUGAAAUCUUCAAAGAACUUAACUUUGGAACUGCAUUUUUAACCGCUACCGAGCUAGAGUGUAUUAUUAAGAGGGAGGUGGGAUUCCGCGUGUAGCAGUGAAAUGCGUAGAUAUGGAAGGGCACCGAUGGCGAGGCAGCCUCCUGGGAUAACACUGACGCUCAUGCACGAAAGCGUGGGGGAGCAAGCAGGAUUAGAUACCCCUGGUAGUCCCACGCCCUAAACAGUGUCAAUAGCUAUUGGGGCCUUCGGGCCUUGGUAGCGCAGCUAACGCGUGGGAUUGACCGCCUGGGAGGAAGUACGGUCGCAAGAUUAAAACUCAAAGAAAGAUUAUUGGGGACCCGCACAAGCGGUGGAUGAUGUGGAUAAUUCGAUGCAACGCGAAAAACCUUACCUACCCUUGACAUGUCUGGAAUCCCGAAGAGAUUUGGGAGUGCUCGCAAGAGAACCGGAACACAGGUGCUGCAUGGCUGUCGUCGAAACUGUCGUGAGAUGUUGGGUUCGCCGUCCCGCAACGGGCGCAGCCUUAUGCCAUUAGUUGCUACGAAGGGGCACUCUAAUGGGAUUGCCGGUGACAAACCGGAGGAAGGUGGGGAUGACGUCAGGUCCUCAUGGCCCUUAUGGUGGGGCUUCACGUCAUACAAUGGUCGGGACGGGGUCCCCGCCCGGCCACGCGGGGGGAACCAAUCCGAGGCGAUCGUAGUCCGGAUCGCAGUCUGCAACUCGACUGCAUUGAUCGGAAUCGCUAAUCAAUCGCGGACAUGUCGCGGUGAAUACGUUCCCGGGUCUUGUACACACCGCCCGUCACACCAUGGGAGUGGGAUUUACCAGAAGUAGUUAGCUAUGCCAUCGGGAGGGCGAUUACCACGGUAGGAUUCAUGACUGGGGCGUCGUAACAAGGUAAG